UGUUGGGUUAAGUCCCGCAACGAGCGCAACCCUCGCUUUAGUUGCCAGCAUUAAGUUGGGCACUCUAAAGGGACUGCCGGAGCUAAUCCGGAGGAAGGCGGGGAUGACGUCAAGUCCUCAUGGCCCUUACAGGGUGGGCUACACACGUGCUACAAUGGCGACUACAGAGGGCUGCAAUGCUGCGAAGCGGAGCCAAUCCCUAAAAGUCGUCUCAGUUCGGAUUGCUCUCUGCAACUCGAGAGCAUGAAGUUGGAAUCGCUAGUAAUCGCGGAUCAGCAUGCCGCGGUGAAUACGUUCCCGGGCCUUGUACACACCGCCCGUCACACCAUGGGAGUUGGUUCUACCCGAAGGCGCUGCGCUAACCCGCAAGGGAGGCAGGUGACCACGGUAGGGUCAGCGACUGGGGUGAAGUCGUAACAAGGUAGCCGUAGGGGAACCUGCGGCUGGAUCACCUCCUUUCUG
rnacentral:rRNA from 1 species